rnacentral:tRNA from 1 species
GUAGGUGUGGCUCAGUGGUAGAGCCCAUGCCUAGCAGGCGUGAGGCCCUGGGUUCUGUCCCCAGCAGCACA